rnacentral:rRNA from 1 species
CUACGGGAUGCUGCAGUCGAGAAUCUUCGGCAAUGGGCGAAAGCCUGACCGAGCGACGCCGCAUGCGGGAAGACGAUCUUCGGAUUGUAAACCGCUUUUAUAAGGGAGGAACUUUUGUGACGUUACCUUAUGAAUAAGGGGGGGCUAAUCACGUGCCAGCAGCAGCGGUAAUACGUGACCCUCGAACGUUGUCCGAAAUUAUUGGGCGUAAAGAGUCUUAAGGUGGUUUUGUAAGUCUUUGGUUAAAUUUCUGAGGCUCAACCUCAGAACUGCCGGGGAUACUGCUAAACUUAGAGGGCGUUAGAGGCAAGCGGAACGCACGGUGUAGGGGUGAAAUCCGUUGAUAUCGUGCGGAACACCAAAAGCGAAGGCAGCUUGCUGGGGCGACCCUGACACUGAUUGACGAAAGCUAGGGGAGAGAACGGGAUUAGAUACCCCCGUAGUC